rnacentral:rRNA from 1 species
UCCUGCAACUUACAACUGGCAACCCACUGAAGUGAAGCAUGUGUGAGCCUGGUCAGUACCAGGAUGGGAGACCUCCUAGGAAAACCUAAGGUUGCUGCUGGAA